UUUUUCUCAAGAAAUUUGAAAAUUCAUGGUAUGCCUAAAAAUACAGUGAGAAAAGAAUAGGACCAAACAGAAAGCAUCACUCUAUGGAUUCUUCUGAGCCCGUGGCCUGAAUUGAUGAUCUGUAUGAUAUAGCAACAGCUAGUUCCUUCGUUUUAUACUACAAUGAGUUGUACAUGCAUAAUGAUGAUUACUCUGCAAUUUUAAAGUUAAUGGUUUUCAGAUAUGGUGUUAAAAAAGCAGGGUCCCUAAACAUUUCUUGCUUAUUGAUUUUAUCAUCGAUAGUCGUUAUGAUGAUUAUAAUAGAAUGAUUUAUAUAUAAUAUGACUUCAACUUUUUCCUUUAAUAUAAUUAAGUCAAUGUAUUUGAGAGUACAGAUAGACUUGAUGGAGUUUAU